rnacentral:rRNA from 1 species
GAUGAACGCUGGCGGCGUGCCUAAUACAUGCAAGUCGAGCGAACGGACGAGAAGCUUGCUUCUCUGAUGUUAGCGGCGGACGGGUGAGUAACACGUGGAUAACCUACCUAUAAGACUGGGAUAACUUCGGGAAACCGGAGCUAAUACCGGAUAAUAUUUUGAACCGCAUGGUUCAAAAGUGAAAGACGGUCUUGCUGUCACUUAUAGAUGGAUCCGCGCUGCAUUAGCUAGUUGGUAAGGUAACGGCUUACCAAGGCAACGAUGCAUAGCCGACCUGAGAGGGUGAUCGGCCACACUGGAACUGAGACACGGUCCAGACUCCUAAGGGAGGCAGCAGUAGGGAAUCUUCCGCAAUGGGCGAAAGCCUGACGGAGCAACGCCGCGUGAGUGAUGAAGGUCUUCGGAUCGUAAAACUCUGUUAUUAGGGAAGAACAUAUGUGUAAGUAACUGUGCACAUCUUGACGGUACCUAAUCAGAAAGCCUCGGCUAACUACGUG